UACGUAGGGGGCGAGCGUUGUCCGGAUUUAUUGGGCGUAAAGAGCGUGUAGGCGGCCAGGUAGGUCUGCUGUGAAAACUCGAGGCUCAACCUCGAGACGUCGGCGGAAACCAUCUGGCUAGAGUCCGGAAGAGGAGAGUGGAAUUCCUGGUGUAGCGGUGAAAUGCGCAGAUAUCAGGAAGAACACCCGUGGCGAAGGCGGGUCUCUGGGCCGAUACUGACGCUGAGGAGCGAAAGCGUGGGGAGCGAACAGG
rnacentral:rRNA from 1 species